UGUAUCCUUGGUUUUUAGUAGUUUUACUAUGAUGGGGUGUGCCAUCCACCCCAUCAUAGUAAACUACUAAAAAUCAAAGAUACAAGUGCCUGACCA
ensembl:miRNA